CUCAAACUUCCCACAUAAAUCAGACCAAACUUACUUUUGUGAUAUAGCCUAUUGACUUCAUUCCUCCCAUAAUAUUUUGAAAUAGAGAUCAUUCGUAACAUUCGCUAAAGAUGCCUACGACCUCUUUGUCUUCAUCAACACUAAGAUUCUUGGAAGGGGCCAGGCGUUUUCUCUGGCAGCAUGAGGCACAAGACACAUAUACAGGCGAGAGUGAGCUCAGCAGUGAAGGGCAGCCAUCCAUAGCGACACCCAUGGAGCUGGGGGGUAAGGGCCAUGCUCAAGGGCCCACAAACAGGGCUACUCCGCGAAGGCCGGGCUCAAACCAGAGACCUUCCGAUCACAGGCACAGAAGAUUCGCCCACUAUGCUGCCCUCUAAACCACUAAAGGGAAACAACUUCUGCCCUAAAGUCCAACUCCGUGCACAUUCAAUAUUCAAUUUAUUACUCACCCUGCCCUCUGUAAUGCACCAGAG